rnacentral:rRNA from 1 species
AAAUUGAAGAGUUUGAUCAUGGCUCAGAUUGAACGCUGGCGGCAGGCCUAACACAUGCAAGUCGAGCGGCAGCGGGAAAGUAGCUUGCUACUUUUGCCGGCGAGCGGCGGACGGGUGAGUAAUGCCUGGGAAAUUGCCCAGUCGAGGGGGAUAACAGUUGGAAACGACUGCUAAUACCGCAUACGCCCUACGGGGGAAAGCAGGGGACCUUCGGGCCUUGCGCGAUUGGAUAUGCCCAGGUGGGAUUAGCUAGUUGGUGAGGUAAUGGCUCACCAAGGCGACGAUCCCU